AGCGGGUAGGUGAGGACGCCCGGCCGCUCAGCGCCAAGGUGGACCUGGAGGUGCUGCUGCUGCUGCUGCUGAUGGUGCCGUUGUCCUGGGUGUCUCAGGGUCAAGGAGACGGUGAGGACGGCUCUGAGGGAGGGGGUGAUGGCGCCACAGUGGAGCAGGAGCACCUGGCUGCGGAAGUCGCCGCUGCCGCUGGAGACGGAGGCAGAGGCACGCUGAGCCGCCGUUGCUUCAUGACAAUCACCCACUCCAUCAUCAUCAUCCUCAAGAUCAUCAAGAGGAUGGACGUGAGGAGGAUGCUGAACAAGACGGCAUGUUAGCUCGAUCUGGCCAACGGAGGCGGGCAGGCCGGCGACGCGCUGCGCCUGGAGGCACACCACCGCCACCACCGUGGUGCUGCCCUGCUCGUCUUCUUGGCCGUGGGCUAGCAUCAUCGGACAGAUGAACAACGCUCGGCGCCUAGCAGUGGUGUACUCCUAAAUGUAGGCUGAGCAUGGAGACGAAUGCAUCAUCAGAAUCUAUAUUCAGAUGAACUUGACGCCUAGGGGUAGUCAGUCCUCCUAAUGUAGCGGUGAAGUCAAGAAGGGUGCGUGUGGAAGUGCGAGUACGGAGAGGGGACGCGGCCCGGCCGGCCAUGGAUUUGGAUUUGAUCUGGACGGCUCCAUUAUCCUAUUGCUUUACUGCUCCCCAUGAACACAACACAACAGAGGAUGUACCUGCCUUCUAACACGUGUUAUGCUACUAAUAAUCCUAUUAAUUUGAAGGAAAUGCUUUCUUAUUUCGAGCUGGUACUUAUUUGUCGGCAUCGGACCUUUCGCCGGAGCUGUCAUUUAGCGGCAAGCCGGCGACUCGUUAACCUAUCUAGGUUACUUUACUUGUAGCUCCCUCAGUUUUGAAUUACUUGUCACAUAAAUAAAUGUAUUCAUUUCUAUCCAUUGUGACAAAUAAUUCGGAAUGGAGGGAGUACUAAAUUACUCCCUCUGUAAACUAAUAUAAGAGCGUUUAGAUCACUAAAAUACGGAUGGAGUACUAACCAACCCGAGUUUUCAUAAAGCAACUUUAGCCGCAGAGUUGCCAAAUCAGCAGCCAUCAUUAUGUGUGUGAAGCGGAUUCUAUAAUUCAGAAAUGUUAAAAAUCUGACGUUCGUUGAGUAAGGAUGGCAAAUCAGAAGUUGAGCAAUCUAUGUUGUCGUAAGGACGGCAAUUUCCUUCACAACCACGACAAAUCCUCCCGAUAAACUGAACAUGGCGGAUUUCCAUGUUUGCUAAAAGAAAUUGCAAUCCCAGCAACACAUAAUUUGGCACAAAAUAGUUUAAUUUGCCAUGCUGACCCAGUGACUGUUUGCUGGUUAUUGAAUUCUUAGUAUUUUGAAGGCCGCCAAGACCACGUGCCAACUCAGGUUAUCAUAAGGUGUCUUAUAAAAGAAAUUCUUUUUUUUUGGCUUCUGUUUGACAUUGAUAGUUUUUGGGCAAUCAAACAGAGACUAAAGUUGAUUAACAACAAACUUCAUUCGAGUACCUAUAAUAGGGCUAAAAUUCAUUGCAUUAACUUAUAAUUUGCAAUUUUAAAUGUUGUUAAGCUAUAUUUGCAAAAUAGUAAACAUAUGUUGUGCCGAUAUUCGACAUUGCUAGCUACUACUAGCUGACAUCGUUUAGUCCUCGUCCUCAUUAUCGAGCUCGUCGAGGCCCAUGCCGGAGUCGAGCGACAAACUGAACCUCCAGCAAUAGUCAAGCUCAUUCAUGCGCUUGGCCUCCUCGAUGGAGUGGUGAGCAAUGAGCUCACUACUUUUCCUCUAGCUCGUCGGCUAGGAGGGGGAGCAUUGGCGCCGAUGCUCCUCUGCUUUGCGGGAGCACGAUCUUGAUUGGGUCCUCAGGCUCGGGCUCAACGUGGGCGGGGAAGAGGGAGGCGAUAGCAUCCUCCUCUUCGCCCGAGGAGGAGUCGUACCAGGUGUCGGCCGGUGGGCCACCCCGACGAGGAUGGGCUCGUCCACGGGGACGAUGGCGCUCGGUCCAUUGUUGUUGCCAAUGCCACGCGGGCCGCGGUGGGAGCAGGAUGCUGUUGGGGAACGCUGCAUGGGAAACAAAAAUUUCCUACGCUCACCAAGAUCCAAUCUAGGAGAUGACCAUCUACGAGAGGAGAGAUUGGAUCUAUAUACCCUUGUAGAUCGCUAAGCGGAAGCGUUAAGAAACGCGGUUGAUGUAGUCAAACGUCUUCGCGAUCCUAUCACGAUCCGUCCCGCGAACUCCCGAUCCAAGUGCCGAACGGACGGCACCUUCGUGUUCAACACACGUACGGCUUGAUGACGCCUUCACCUCCUUGAUCCAGCGAGCGAUGGUGAAGUAGUAGCUUGAGUCCUCCGGCAGCACGACGGCGUGGUGGCGGUGGGGGUGGAGAAAUCUCAGCAGAGCUUUGCUAAGCACUACGGAGAAGAAGAGGGAUGCGAGGGAGAGGAGAGGCAGCGCGUCGCGUGGAGAUGUGCUCAAGGGGGUGCGGCUGCCCUCUCUCUACCUCUCUAUAUAUAGGGGAAGGGAGGGGGUGGCGCCCCUAGGGUUUUCCCUAGGGGGGCGGCGGCCAGGGUAGAUGGGAUCUCCCCUAGGGUGACUUUCCCCCCAAGCCGGAAGGUGGGAAGCCCUAGGGGGGCGCCCCCAACCCUCCUGGUUACGUGAGAUGGGGUGAGGCGGGCGACUAAUUAACCCAUCUAGGUUACUUCACUUGUAGUAGCUCCCUCCGUCCUGAAUUACUUGUCGCAGAAAUGAAUGUAUCAAUACGUAUUUUUAGUUUUAGAUAUAUUUAUUUUUAUCCAUUGUGACAAGUAAUUCGGGACGAAGGGAGUACUAAACUACUAAUCAACGCGAGCUUUCAUGAGAGCAACUUUAGCCGCAGAGUUGGCCUAUUAGCAGUCAUCAUAAUGCAUGUGCAGCGCAUUCUAUAAUUCAGAAAUGUUAAAAGUCUGACGUUUGUUGGGUGAGGAUCAGAAAUUUUUAAGCAAUCUAUGUUGUCGUAAGGACGGCAAUUUCCUUCACAACCACGACAAAUCCUCCCGAAAAACUGAACAUGGCGGAUCUCCAUGUUUGCUAAAAGAAAUUGCUAUCCCAGCAACACAUAAUUUGGCACAAAAUAGUUUAAUUUGCCAUGCUGACCCAGCGACUGUUCGUUGUUAUCAAAUUCUUAGUAUUCUGAAGGUCGCUAAGACCACGUGCCAAUUCGGGUUAUCAUAAUGCGUCUUAUAAAAGAAAUUCUUAUCUUUUUGGCUUUUGUUUGAAAUUGAUAGUUUUUAGGCAAUCAAACAGAGACUAAAGUUGAUUAACACAAACUACAUUCGAGUACUUAUAAUAUGGCUAAAAUUCGUGGCAUUAACAUAUAAUUUGCAAUUUUAAAUAUCAUUAAGCUACAUUUGCAAAAUAGUAAACAUAUGUUGUGCCGAUAUUCGACAUUGCUAGCUACUACUAGCCGACAUCGUUUAGUCCUCGUCCUCAUCAUCGAGCUCGUCGAGGCCCACGUCGAAGUCGAGCUCAUCCACGGGGACGAUGGCGCUCGGUCCAUUGCUGCUGCCAAUGCCAGGCGGGCCACGGUGGGAGCAGAAUGCUCCAGUGGCCGCCCUAGUGCAGCACAAGGAAUAAAAUCUACACAAUUGGUAACCCAGUUGGAGGCACCGCCGGCGCAUAGUGUUUGGGACGGCUAGUUGUUGUCGUCCAGCAUGUUGAGCCAAUAGCCCGCGGGCACGACACGACAACAUUGAGGCGGUGAGCUCAACGCAUAGAGGCAAGGGUGUGGGAGAGGAGGAGGCGGUGACUAGGGUUAGGGUUGCGAUGGGGAUGCCUCCUCGCCUGUCUUUUAUUGCCGGGGACGGCGUGCGGUAUGGUAGGCAUCCUAUGGCUCGCUGGUGGGAAUCUGAGGGGGCGGACGCGCCAUUAAUGGCUGGUAUAUUCGUUGGUGUUUAUCAGUCACAUCGUUGGUGGUUUAGACUGCUUGUUGAGUUGUACGAGCGGCAGCGUGUAACACCCCGGAUGUAACUUUCCAUAUUUGUAACUCCAACUCUUGCCAUUUUCGGCUGUGUUAUGAUAUUCCCUUCGUGGUCGGGUUUUGUUUUUCGUUUUGCAUUUUGUUCAUGUCAUGCAUCUCAUAUCAUGUCGUCAUGUGCAUCUCAUUUGCAUACGUCUUCGUCUCAUGCAUCCGAGCAUUUUCCCAGUUGUCCGUUUUGCAAUCCGACACUCCCACAUGCACCGGCGCACCCCUCUUGUCUCUUUUCGUGAGCGGGUGUUAAACGUUCUCGGAAUGGACCGAGUUUUGCCAAGUGGCCUUGGUACACCACCGGUAGACCACCUGUCAAGUUUCGUUCCAUUUGGAGGUCGUUUGAUGCUCCAACGGUUAACCAGGUAACCGCAAAGGCCUUUUGAGUGUUGCAGCCAAACACCCCUCCAAACAGCCCAAUAACCCAUCUAAGUCCCCUCCAUGCUCUCGAUCGUUCGAUCAUGAUCGUGUGGGCGACAAUCGCACUCCAUUUGGAGUCUCCUAGCUCCCUCUAGCUAUAAAUAUGUGAGCCUCCCCGAAAUCCCGCAGUCCAAAAACCCUAGCCCGCUCCCUCUCCGCCGCCGGACACGUCCCGGUCCGGUCGGACACAUCGCCGCCGCCGCUCAGAGCCAACCGGGCCGCGCCACUUGUCGCGCCGUCGCCUCCCCCGCCUAAGCCCGCGAGGCCCGUGCCUGGCCCCCNNNNNNNNNNNNNNNNNNNNNNNNNNNNNNNNNNNNNNNNNNNNNNNNNNNNNNNNNNNNNNNNNNNNNNNNNNNNNNNNNNNNNNNNNNNNNNNNNNNNNNNNNNNNNNNNNNNNNNNNNNNNNNNNNNNNNNNNNNNNNNNNNNNNNNNNNNNNNNNNNNNNNNNNNNNNNNNNNNNNNNNNNNNNNNNNNNNNNNNNNNNNNNNNNNNNNNNNNNNNNNNNNNNNNNNNNNNNNNNNNNNNNNNNNNNNNNNNNNNNNNNNNNNNNNNNNNNNNNNNNNNNNNNNNNNNNNNNNNNNNNNNNNNNNNNNNNNNNNNNNNNNNNGAGCCGCCGUCCUCGCCGUCCUGAGCUCCCUCCGCGCGCCGCCCGAGCCGCCGCUCCCUCCAUCCGCCGGCGCCGGAUCCGCCUCCUCCGGUCGGCCCCGUCCCCGCCGGCGUCUUCUCCGACCUCCCCGAGCGCAACUCCGGUGAGCCGCCCCGCCUCGGCUUCCGUGCCAGCAACCCUAGAUCUGGAGAGGUUGAACCCUGAAAUUCCUCCAAGUCCCGUUCUGCGUACUUUAUGUUGCUCUGUUCAUCAUGGUAUAUCUCAUUGCAUAUUACUCCAUUUUGCGUGCAUGAUAUAUCGAAAUGUUCAUCACGAGAUGCUCUUCAUUUUGUUCUAUUGUGCCAUGCUCGUUUGAGUUCAUCUUGAUGCCCAAAUCUCUAGUGCAAGAGUGCUAUAUGAUGUUUACUGCUGUUUCUUAUCAGAACUUGAUGUUUUGUUAUUUUUGUUGCAUUUGAUGUGUGCAUCUUAUAGGCAUGAGCUCUACAGGUGUUUUAAUCUAUGCCAUGCCAUCUUUACAUAGGUGUAUGCCAUGUAUUUUGGUGAUCUAUAUGGUGACUAGCACAAGCAUGCAAACUAGGCUUCGUGAUGUUUCUGUUUUCAGGGACUUGGGAUUUUGCCAAGUCUUUUACCUGCUGUUAUUUUGUUGCCAUGUAUCCAUGUGUCUACAGUGAGAUCCAUGCUUCUUUUGAGUAUGUUCAGUAAGGAUGUUUUGUAGAUAUAGUUGUGCUCUAUCCAUCCAUGCCCCUGUUUGCAAAUAUUGGAGUGCUCUAGCAUUUCUCAAUCUUGCUCUACUUUUGCUAUAAAAUGUUCCUGGCAGAAUGUUAACAUGAUAUUCAAUUUUGCCAAGGUUGUUCUAGUUGAUCCAUACAUGCUAUGAACUUGAUCUUGCCAUGGUUAGCUUGAUGAACAUGCCAUCUUGCUGUAGAUAUGCUUGUUUUGUCAUGCAUUGCUUUGUAAUGAGUGAAUCGAGCUCACAAAGAUGCCUUCAUAAUUCUGUUAAUGCCAUGCUCUGUUUUCUGGUAAGUCUGAAACCUGUUAACAAAACUUGCUAUGUUUACAUGGGUGCCAUCAUAUCUUCUGAUCCUUUUUGGCUCAUGGUCAGUAAGGGAUUUUUGUUCUAUGCAUUUAGUAGAUUCAUGCCAUGCCUUGUUUCGCUAUGAUAAGUUCCUGUAGCAGGUGUUUUGCUUGCUCUGAAUAUUGCUACCUGAUGCUGUUUCAGCCAUGUUCAGUAUUUUCACCAAGUCUGUGAAGCUGAUAACUUUUGCACUUUUGCCAUGCUUGUUUGAACCUGUUAUAUUGUGAUAUAUCUGUAGCUCACUGUUCAUCUUUUGUCAAGCAUCUCCUGUAGAUCACUGCCAUAUGCUUUGUUGCUAUGUUGGGGUGCUGUAGCAUAGUUAAUUGAUGUAUUCUAAGUGCUAUCAUGCUGUUAAUCGCAGAAUCGUGUCAUUCUUGUUUUGCUCGCCAUUUGCAAACCGUGCAUCCGUUUCCGGUGAUCUUUAUAUCGAUUUCGACCGAAAUCAUCUCAUCUUUCCAGUGGCAUACUUGGUUUGCCAAGUGGAUGCCAUGUUCAUCCUUUUUCUUCCGGAGCACGCAUAUGCAUCGCAUAUCACAUCUCGCAUAUCAUGCAUGUAAUGCAUCAUGUUGCUUGUGCAUUUCCCGUGAUUGAUUGUGGUUCCAUUGCUUGUGUUCUUGUUGUGGGUAGAGCCGGGAGACGAGUUCGUGAACGAGGAACCUGUUGAGUACGCUUACGAGAAUCAAGCUUUCGAUAACUCUGAGAACCUUGCAGGCAAGAUGACCAUACCCUCGAAAUCACUUCUAUCUUUGCUUUGCUAGUUGUUCGUUCUAUUGCUAUGCUGCGCUACCCACCACUUGCUAUAUCAUGCCUCCCAUAUUGCCAUGUCAAGCCUCUAACCAUCCUUUCCUAGCAAACCGUUGUUCGGCUAAGUUACCGCUUUUGCUCAGCCCUCUUAUAGCGUUGCUAGUUGCAGGUGAAGUUGAAGUUGGUUCCAUGUUGGAACAUGGAUAUUUUUGGAAUAUCACAAUAUCUCUUAUUUAAUUAAUGCAUAUAUAUAUAUUUGGUAAAGGGUGGAAGGCUCGGCCUUAUGCCUGGUGUUUUGUUCCACUCUUGCCGUCUUAAUUUCCGUCAUACCGGUAUUAUGUUCCUUGAGUUUGCGUUCCUUACGCGGUUGGGUGAUUUAUGGGACCCCCUUGACAGUUCGCCUUGAAUAAAACUCCUCCAGCAAGGCCCAACCUUGGUUUUACAGUUGCCUACCUAAGCCUUUUUCCCUUGGGUUUUCGCGAGCCCGAGGGUCAUCUUUAUUUUAAACCCCCGGACCAGUGCUCCUUCGAGUGCUGGCCCAAACCGAGCGAUGUCCGGCGCCCCCUGGGCAACCAGGGUCUAUGCCAACCCGACGUCUGGCUCAUCCGGUGUGCCCUGAGAACGAGAUAUGUGCAGCUCCUAUCGGGAUUUGUCGGCACAUUCGGGCGGCUUUGCUGGUCUUGUUUUACCAUUGUCGAAAUGUCUUGUAAACCGGGAUUUCGAGACUGAUCGGGUCUUCCCGGGAGAAGGUUUAUCCUUCAUUGACCGUGAGAGCUUAUAAUGGGCUAAGUUGGGACACCCCUGCAGGGUUUUAUCUUUCGAAAGCCGUGCCCGCGGUUAUGUGGCAGAUGGGAAUUUGUUAAUGUCCGGUUGUGGAGAACUUGGUACUUGACUUAAUUAAAAUACAUCAACCGUGUGUGUAGCCGUGAUGGUCUCUUUUCGGCGGAGUCCGGGAAGUGAACACGGUUCAGGUUAUGAAUGAACGUAAGUAGUUUCAGGAUCACUUCUUGAUCAUUUCUAGCUUCGCGACCGUUGCGUUGCUCCUCUUCUUGCUCUUAUUUGCGUAUGCUAGCUACCAUAUAUGCUUAGUGCUUGCUGCAGCUCCACCUCAUUACCCCAUCCUUUCCGAUAAGCUUAACUAGUCUUGAUCUCGCGGGUGUGAAAUUGCUGAGUCCUCGUGACUCACAGAUUCUACCAAAACAGUUGCAGGUGCCGACGAUACCAGUGCAGAUGACGCAACCGAGCUCAAGUGGGAGUUCGACGAGGAACGUGGUCGUUACUAUGUUUCGUUUCCGUAUGAUCAGUAGUGGAGCCCAGUUGGGACGAUCGGGGAUCUAGCAUUUGGGGUUAUCUUCCUUUCAUUUGGAUUUUGACCGUAGUCGGUCUAUGUGUGGAUUUUGGAUGAUGUAUGAAUUAAUUUAUGUAUUGUGUGAAGUGACGAUUGUAAGCCAACUCUCGUUAUCCCAUUCUUAUUCAUUACAUGGGAUUGUGUGAAGAUGACCCUUCUUGCGACAAUACCUACAAUGCGGUUAUGCCUCUAAGUCGUGCCUCGACACGUGGGAGAUAUAGCCGCAUCGUGNNNNNNNNNNNNNNNNNNNNNNNNNNNNNNNNNNNNNNNNNNNNNNNNNNNNNNNNNNNNNNNNNNNNNNNNNNNNNNNNNNNNNNNNNNNNNNNNNNNNNNNNNNNNNNNNNNNNNNNNNNNNNNNNNNNNNNNNNNNNNNNNNNNNNNNNNNNNNNNNNNNNNNNNNNNNNNNNNNNNNNNNNNNNNNNNNNNNNNNNNNNNNNNNNNNNNNNNNNNNNNNNNNNNNNNNNNNNNNNNNNNNNNNNNNNNNNNNNNNNNNNNNNNNNNNNNNNNNNNNNNNNNNNNNNNNNNNNNNNNNUCUAUUGCUGCAUAUUUUCCAUAAACAUUUCACGCAAAUUUUCAUUAUGUUUGGACUUCUGUAGGUAUGGUUUUUCCGCUAAACCACAAACAUGCAAAAAAUAGAAACUGGCACUAGGCACUAAAUUAAUAGAUUAGUUCAGAAAAUAAUAUAAAAUGACGUAUAAAACGUAAAACAGUGAUAAUACAAUAGUAUGAAACAAUAAAAAAUUAUAGAUAUAUUAAGACAUAUCAGCAAUUGAGGAGCCGACCAACCACACACUCCAUCGCAAGUUGAGGGCGUGCCACUGCUGCCGCUGCAGCCGCUUCCACCUGAAGUCGGUGUGAGCUUGAAAUCCAUAGAUGUACCUUUCACACACGGGAAGCCUUCGAGCUACACCCCAUCGGGCCAACGUACCAGAGAAGAGGCCGGAAGGACGCACCACAGAAAGCAUCAUCACACCUCCCUCACCGUUGAUGAAAAAGGCAACGGACUGGUGUCAUACAACAACCGUCUGCCCAGAUCAAAGGCGACAAAGGAGAAACCCCCAUUGGAAGGGAUCUGGUGGAAGACAAAUUCCGCACCGUCGCUAUACAGCACAACGGCAAGCAAACGCAAACCAAAUAUAAAAUCUCACCGCUAACCGGCGAGAGGAGCACACCACCAACUCGCUUACAACCGAAUCACUGGGAUAGGGAACGACUUAAGGUAGAGAUUAUUCGCCAUCCCUCCACCAUCCACACACCAGCGCUCAAAACCCUAAGUCUUACCCUAUGCACAAGACCGACACAAGGUUCUACGGUUCCCUACCGCUCCCAUCGUUGGAGCGGUCACCGGAGGAGAGGGAAUCGGCGGGGGUCACCGGCAAGCACAUGAGGAACUGCGGUUGCCUUCGCUUCUACCUCUUACGGGAAGGGGAACGUGAAGCUAAAACUCCCUUCCAUCCCUUCAAUCGUAAUGGGCCGGCCCAUAAGGCACGUUCUAGCCCGGUUUUCGAAAACUUCUAGAAGCUUACUGGGCGGAUUUUUUUUUCAUGUUAUUUGUUUUCUGGUUUAUUAGAUCGGGUUUAUUUUUUUUCUCUUUUUUAUCAUUUUUAUUUUCUUUUUUUUCCUUUUCCUUUUCCUUUUUUAUUUUUUCUCCUUUUAAAAAUUCAUGAAACUUUUUCAAGGCGUGAUUUUUUUCAAAUUCAUGAAUGUUUUUUGAAUCCGUGGUUAUUUUUUUCAAACCGGCAAACUUUUUAUUUAUUUUUUGUGAACAUUUUUUUUCUAAAAUUCCUUAAAUUUUUCAAAUUCUCGAACUAUUAUUAAAUUCAUGAAUUAUUUUUCUAAAUUCGUUAACUUUUUGAAAUUCGAGAUUUUUUUUCAAAAAUUCAUGAAUUUUUUCCCUGAAAUAUGUUUUUAAAAUUUAUGAAAUAUUUUCCCUCAAGAUUGUGAACAUUUUACUAAUUCACGGAAGACGUGAUUAUUUUUCAAUUUCACGAACUUUUUAAAAUUCAUGAUUUUUUUAAGUUCGUGAAGUAUUUGAAAUACACGAACUUUUUCAAACUCAGAAUGUUUUUGGAAAGACCAACAGUCAAGUCAACAAUCAAUGAGUUUUUUAAUAUUUACAAAUAUUAAUAUUUAUAUAUUUCCCAAAUUCAAUGGUCAACCAGUCAACCGGUUAACAAGCGAGCGAUGCAUCUUUCUAGCGUGCGAGCGAGCAAGGGAGCUCCUAUUUGGUGCUAUACAUGCCCGUUAGCGCUACAGGCGCUCGCUGGGGGAAGUUUAGCGGGGCAGCCCAGCAACCUGCUGAAGAACUGAGGGCUGAAUUGGACGUUUCCUUAGGGCAGCGCACGACCUAUGAUUCCUAGUGGGUGAGAGGUCUUCCAACUGCCUCUUGCCUGUGCCGCCACGGAUCCGCCUCGCCUCAUGUGGCCUUAGGGCUAUGGGUGCAUGGUGGAUCUUGGUCUUGCCGGUGGAAGGGCUCCUCGUUCGUUGUUAGAUGUCUUUUCGAGUCUUUUUAAGGUUUGUGUCCUGCUUAGAAAGAUGAGGCAGCAACGGCUUUCUGAAGAUGAAAUAAGGUUCUUCCCGUCUAGCCCCGUUCUGAUGGUGCGGCUAGCAUCAUUGGAGGGCGUGUGGAGGUGUGUCUCCGGUGAAUCUUGCGGGAUUCGGUCGGUGUUUGUCUUCGAUGGCUCUCUUUGGAUCCGGUCUUUCUUCAUCUGUGUUCGUGUGUCUACUGGUUGGAUUCUUCCGAUCUACGCUUUUUUCAGCAGUGAUGUUGUUGUUCUGUUGCGCUCUUCUUCUGGGGCCUUAGCACGAUGACUUCCCGACUGCCUACUACAACAAGGUUUGUCGGCCUCUGAUGAAGGAGGGACGAUGACGGCGGCGCGCCUUCGGCUCCUUCGAGUGCUUGUAGUCGGUCGUAGGUGGUCUACGGACUUCGAUGUAAUUUUUGUUACUUUUGACGUUCCUUCUACUGCCAUGAUGUUUCAAGAAUAGAGUGAAAGUUUUUCUCGCAAAAAAACCUGCUGAAGGAAAGCAAACAGAAAGAGAAAACUGCAAAAAAGUUCAAUAUCAGGAAAGCACGCUAUUUAAGCCUUCUUCUAGUACAACACUAGACAUAUACUAUAUAUAUACCAGUAUUAAUUAUUUUAAAAGAAAUUCAUCAAAUUAAAAAAUUAAAAUUUAAAAGGGUUCAUGAGAAAUGGAAAAAGUUCGUUGAUUUUGAAAAAAAUCAUCAAUUUUGAAUAAAGUUCAUCUAUUUUUGGAAAAAUGUUCAUCAAAUUUUUAAAAAGUUUAUUAUUAUUUUUUAGAAAAGUUCAUAAUUUUUUAAUAAAACUUCAUUAAUUUGGAAGAAAAUAUUCAUCAAUUUUGAAAAAAGUACAUUGAUGUUGAAAACAGUUCAUCAAUUCAAUUUUUUACGGAUUUUGGAAAAAUGUUCACAAAUCUAAGAAAAGAAAAGAAUAGAAAAGAAAAUAAAAAUAAGAGAAAGAACAAAAAGAGGAAAAGAAAAGGGAGCAAGUAAUCACAAAAGGGUUGUGUUCCGGGUGGUUAGGGAGAGUAGCCAGCGCUAUAAGCGCUGAUUAGGAGCUCUCAGAGAUGCUCUACAAAAAAACACCAAAGAUGGUUACUCCCUUCUUCCAUUUAUAUAGGGCCUAAUACGUUUUUUAAGGUAACCUUUGACCACUAGUUAGCACAAUAAUAUGUGACAUGCAUGUUUCAUACCAUCGAAUUCGUAUGUGAAAGAAGUUUUUAAUAAUAUUUUUUUUAUAUCAUAUACUCCCUCCGUUCCAAAAUAGAUGACUCAACUUUAUAGUAAAGUUAAUACAAAGUUGGGUCAUCUAUUUUAAAACGGAGGGAGUAUCUCAUACACGAGUAGCUACAACUAACUAACGGCAGGACGACCUGGACAGGACGAGUUUUCUGCAACAUGCGUGGCCCACGCUACAGAGACAGAAGAGGGCCCACGUGUUGUUGGUGUGGCGUUUCUAGGGCUGCAAACGAGUCGAGUUCGAGCGAGUUGGCCUAGGCUCAGCUCAACUUAUACUAAAAUUCGAGCGAGCUUAAAAUGUGCGAAGCUCAAGGUCGAGCUGCAGAAAGUAGCUCGUGCUCAGCUUGUAACGAUCUCGAGCUAGUUUCGAGCUAAAUAAGAUGAUUUUUAAAAUUAUUUAAAGGAAAAUUUUAAAGCAAGAUAGACCACAACACAACAAAAAAAUUCUAUAAAUUCGACUUAUUCUUUCUCAAAUGAAGACUAGUAUUUAAUAACAAGAAAUCAUGGAUAGAAGGCGAUGAAGGUGCGCCAGCUCUCAAACAUUGACCAAAAUAACAAAAUAUUGAACACACGGUUGCCCACGUGAUGAGAAUAAAUUUUCUCCAUGCUUAAUUUCCAUGUUUGCUAGUAGGUAAAGUGAAGCUAAAAAUCGUACAGAGCAUAUACAAAAAAGAAUGAUCCUAAUUCUUGGCAAUAGAUAUGAAGAUUAUUUAGUAUAUUUAUAUAAUAUCGAGCUAUCGAGCUAAAAUCGAGCGAGCCAAUAUUGGCUCAAGAUCGGCUCGUUUCUUAAUCGAGCUACAUAAAGUAUUCAUACUCAGCUCAUUUCUUUUCGACUCGAUCUCGAGUCAAGCUAAAAUAGGAGUCGAUCUCGAGCGGCUCACGAGCCUCGAGCUUUUCUUGCAGCGUGUCAGCUCUCCCAUUUGCUUUGCUGCCUUGCUGCCUUCGUUGGUCCACCUCCAGCUGGCCGCUCCCUUUUCAAUCAUCCAGCCAAAUCCACCUUAGCUUCGCUUCCUCUACUUCUUCUCUCAACCCAAAUCCAAAUCCCAAAUCCCAAAUCCCCAACCCGCCGGCGAUGGCUCGCGGCAGCCGCCCCGGGAGGAACGGCGGCGGCGGCGGCGGGUGCGCGCGCUGCUUCCUGGGAUUCCUGCUCAAGUUCCUCGCCUUCCUCCAGGUCUUCGCCGCCGUCUCCGCCGCCGUCUCCGCCGUGCUCUACGCCGCCUCCAUCCUCUCCCGCUGGGCGCGGCACCACGAGCUGCACUUCGACCACCUCCUCCCAGACCUCUGGUAUUGUGUUCCUCGCCUUCCUCCGUUCCGACCCACUUCCCUUCCCACUUGUGUAUGCGUAGCUGUACUGUCUGCCUGAUUCAACUUUUUUUUUCAUUCAUUAUAGGAUAUGUACAAAAAAAAACAAAUAAAGAAAACAGAAUAGCUCGCUACAAAAUCUGUCCAAUGCCUGUUAUUUCUAACAUGAUAAAAAUAUAAAUCAGAGGCACUUAGAGAAGCUUAGGAGAAAGAGUCAAUCCAUUGGUCAAGGCACUCCACAUUCCUUGCCUUAGUUCCGUGCUUGACUAGAAGAAGAUCCUGCUUCAGGCCAUAUUUCCAGGAAAUAGCCCCUGGAACCUCAUUUUUGAAGAUUUCCCCAUUCCUCUGCAUCCGAAUGUUCCAACAGCCCAUAAUCACAAUGUCCAUAGCAAUCUUCUGGGGAAAAGUUUGAAGGGUAAACAACACCUCAUAGAAAACAGAGAUACCUCCAAGUCUGUUUGGAGAGAUCUGAUCCCAGCAUAAAUAAAUGAGCAAAAGAGCAAUCCCAAAGCAGAUGUUGGACGGUUUCUUCUGUUUUGUGAUUACAGAGCACACAGUCAUAAGAAUUCAGGAAAAAAUAUUUUCUUUUGAGUAGACUUCUGGUAUUGAUUCUGUCAUAUUAGAGCAACCAAAAGAAAAUGUUAUGCCUGAUUCAACUUUUUGCAGGUUCGCGUGCGUCGUCAUGGCCGCCGGCCUCCUCUACUGCGCCAUCCUCCUCGCGGGGUACGUCGCCGCUGAGGUCAACAGCGGGUGCUGCCUCUGCUUCGUAAGACCCACACCCACGCACCACCACAACCCAUAUCCUUUUUUUCUUUAACAUACCUCUCCCUUCCUAUUGGUUCAUUUCUGCAUCACUGCUACUGAUGUUGACAACAAUUGUUCCAGUAUACCAUCUUGGCCAUGGCGAUGAUGCUGCUGGAAGCUGCCGUGGCCGGCCACCUCCUCCUCAACGAGCACUGGAUGCAGGUGGGCACCCAUUCAUGCCCCUGUCAGUAAUAGUUCCAUCUGAUCAAAUCAGAUCACUGACGAUUCCUCUUGUUCAUCUAUUAUUCUUGCAGGAUCUGCCGUAUGACCGCACCAGAGAGCUUGAGAACCUCGUCUCCUUUGUCAACAACAACCUCGACCUCUGCAAAUGGGCUGCUCUGGCUACCGUCGCCACGCAGGUGCGUGACUCUGCCAGAAUUAGUAUAUGCUUAUUCUUGGUAAACCUGAACAAGCAUUUCCAUCUCAAAUCAAACGGCACAGCAAGUGUACACGAGCCUUUUAAGUUGGUUGCUCCAGUGGUCUUUCACACUCUGUUUCCCUUUGUGCAUCGAGGAGGAGGAUCUGAUCCGUGUAUGUAUAGGUGUUCUCGCUUUUCUUGGCAAUUACUCUACGAGCCAUGGUUUCGCCCACCAAUGAGGACUGUGACAGCGACGAAGAUUUUGUUGUCAUAAGGAGGCCGCUGCUUCUUGCCCAAGGUGCUCCAGCCUAUCUCCCUACCACGGCCGAUCCUAGAGGUGCCCACCCUGGCCUAUGGAGCUCAUCGAUGAGGCAAAAGGUGAUUUUUUUUAGCCUGCAGUACUUACUUACGGUGAUUUCAGAUGUGACUAUGUAACCUAAGCAAGAGUGCACUAUCGUUAAGGACAGUACCCUGUUGUAAGAAAAAGAAUGGGUACAACCCCAUAGAGAACUAUUCAGGCAAAACGUAAUUGUAUGCAUUAUGUCUGCACAACACUGUUCUCCCUAGCAACUUGAAGAAUGUUUGGAACCAUUAAGCAAGCAUGUAUUUUGCUCUUUGGUCUCAGUUCUUCCAGGAUUUUUCUGUCGGGUACUUUUAUACCGACACCCACAGUUACUCAUAAGUCUUGACCCUCAGUUUCUUGAUACCCUCUAGCCAUGACGCUUAUCAACUUCUCUUUUUCUUUGCUGUAAUUAUUUUUACUCUACUACUCCCUCCGUUCCUAAAUAGUUGUCUUUCUAGAGAUUUCAACAAGUGACUACAUACGGAGCAAAAUGAAUGAAUCUACACUCUAAAAUAUGUCUAUAUACAUCCGUAUGUGGUAGUCCAUUUGAAAUCUCUAAAAGACAAAUAUUUAGGAAUGGAGGGAGUACAUGAGUAGUGCAGGAUUUAAAACAUAACCUGAUUGUAGCACACACUGUAGUUCAAGCAUUUGUAGACCGAGUAUCAGUUCAUUUCAUUCUCUGUAGGUUGGAUCGUAUGUUAGCUUAAGUUCUGGCAAGUUAUGAUGAUGAUUGACUAGCUGGUGGGCAGAAAUAUUUUAUAGCCUGCAAUUUUUAACUGAAUCAUACUGUAUGUUGUUGAGUUGUAAAGACAAGCUAAAUAGCUAGUUGGCUGAAAGCCAUUCCCAUGCGGACCAUGUUGAUUGCAAAAGUUAAAUAAGCAAAAAUUGCAGAAGCAAAUUAUGAAUUUGUAAAGAGUUGUCUUGUUGUCUUGCUGCAGUUGCUCAUUAUUGUUUCCGAGUGUGAAAAUCUAAGAAUGCCUGACAAUCAUAUCAUAUAGCAUGAAAGUCUAUGACAAUUAACCUUAUGCGGAAUGUCGAAAAAGUCAUGGCAAAUUUAUUAUAUUAACCAAUCAUGCCCUUAGUUCGACGUUGUAAAUGUAUUGACAUCCCAACAGCCAUGUGUUUCUUCUUGAAAACUAAUUCACAUUUUUCUUCCUGUGUGCCCUCUAGUAUGGAUUGAACUCCACAAGCGACUACACCUACAACACACUGGAUCAAAAUGCAGUACCGCCACAGUGAGAAUCUGCGUGACUGAUGACGAAGCACAUACCAUAUAUGCAGUACAUAAGUCAUAUGUUGCAAUAUGCCAUGGUGUAAUGGGCACUGUAUACAUUUGUACGCCCAGUUAUUCUGUGAAUCUCGGUUGUACAUAGUUCCAUCAUUACUACUCCCUCCGUCCCAAAAUAUAAGAACGUGUCACUAUAGUAGUAAAGAACAUAUGUGUGAAUGGCUGCCCUGGUUGGCUGGCUGCUAUUUCUUCGAGACCCGCUUACUAGUGCUGAAUCUGGAGCAAAUCCGCAACUCAGUCAUUGGGACAGCCAGGAGAUGGCCGUAUGUAAAUAAAUAGUCUAUCUUGUUGGAUGUCUUGGGUUGGCUGGUUUCUUCAAUGUAGCCAAAGAGAUGGAUGAGCAAGAAUGGCAGUAUUUGCAUUGGAUGUGUAUCAAGUUAGAUAUAGCAGUUAGUAAAAAAAUGUAAGGUAAUGUUAGUUCAAUUUUCAUGUGGAUGAUGACAUCAUUAAAAUAUUUUCUUGGGCCAAAUAUUACAUAUCCACACUUCAUUUGUUUUGCUUGAAACGACAAAAUAGAACUGCGAGCACCGUUUGUCACUGGUAUCACCUUACGUAAGUGAAACAAACAUCUGUAGUGUUG
rnacentral:lncRNA from 1 species